UCUUUGCCUCGAUUCUUAUUGUGAAACUAUUAUUAACCAGGACACAAUGUUAAACGAAAGGUGUGUCAUUAUUAUUCUAACUUUGUGUUGGUCAUUUAAAAGCCACUUAAUGUGAUACUUUUUGAUGUUAGAAAUGUCUCAUCUUCAAAGUUGAUAAUUUUGCAACCAUGUUAUUAUAGUUGUUCUCUUUUAAAUAUUUUUGUAUCUGCACAGAUAUACCACCUUUUUCAAGCAUCUUGCUAGAAUGCAGUUUGGUGAUUUUGUAAAUGACCAAUUGUUUCUGUCAUUGAGAGUCCAAUUAGCCGGCAUAUCUCCUUGUUUGGAUCAUUUUACUAGUUUAGUGUAAAAGUUUGAAACAUUGACAUUUUAAUCCAAAUAGUUUGAAACAUUGACAUUUUAGUGUAAUAAGUUAAACCUCAUCCCUUUAUUCUGUUAAAUAGAAAGGUAAUUUGAUCCUUUUAUAUGUAACAAUGUUAACUAGUAGGACAAUUCGAACAU
rnacentral:lncRNA from 1 species